UCAACCCCCAUCUGAUCAGUUGGUAUGUGGGGGGCAGUGGCUGAAAGGUGCAUAAAUGUGGGCUGGACAGUGGUCAAGGGAGCAACCUGGGGGGAGCAACCUGGGAAAAGAACCUGGGAGGAGCACCUGAGGACUGGAUCAGAAGUGACUGGGCAGGAUGUGAGACAGACCGGAGAGGAGGCCAUGGCAAGGAAUCAGAACACCAUGUACUUUGUUCAUCGCUCAUCCACUAACUCUGCGUAACGCCACUUCACGUCACUCCAGAUUCUUUGCAAGACGCGGACACUGAGUUGGACCUGGUAGUCCCGUCUGAGGCGCCGACGCAGUCUCCUCAUGAUCCCCCUGCAGAUCGACUGGAUCCUGGGAGUGCCUGGUGGGAUAUUAUCAUAGCCCUCCCGGUGCAGGAAUGACACAAAGAAACGCAGCUGCACCUCAUCCAUAUUCCCAGGUCCUGCCAUGUCCACAUCUUGACAUGUUUUCCAGUCCUAAUGGCCACAGGGCAGGGCACCAAGUAUUUAUACUAGGGACACACCAAUUUGAAGCAAGUGCGAGAGAAUUUUGGUGCGAACGUCAAAUUCGUUGCGCUCCGGGCUUGUCGCGCUCCGGUUUUGCCGCGCGCGAAUAUUUGCUUCCGCUAGAGUAUAUUUGCUCGCGAAAAUGUACAUUUUUUCACGCGAGCGUAUAUUUGGUCGCGCAGAUGUACAUUUGGUCGUGCAAGUGUAUAUUUGGUCGCGAAAAUGUCCAUAUAUUUUAAGCAUAUAUUUUGACGUGCAAGUGUGAAUUUUUACGCACAGGCCUCUAGUUUGACACGUAAGUGAGAAUUUUGACUUUUCUGCUAUUGUAUUGAAUGGGCCUCAGAACCAUUAUGCUUUUUUUGCUUGCACCUCCAUUAAAUAAUUCAAUUAAUUAUAA